UGUUACAAUGGGGGGUACAGAGGGCCGCUACCACGCGAGUGGAUGCCAAUCCCUAAAACCCCUCUCAGUUCGGACUGGAGUCUGCAACCCGACUCCACGAAGCUGGAUUCGCUAGUAAUCGCGCAUCAGCCACGGCGCGGUGAAUACGUCCCCGGGCCUUGUACACACCGCCCGUCAAGCCAUGGGAGCCGGGGGUACCUGAAGUGCGUAACCGCGAGGAUCGCCCUAGGGUAAAACUGGUGACUGGGGCUAAGUCGUAACAAGGUAAC
rnacentral:rRNA from 1 species